GAAUAUAACACUCUCAAUACAAUUCAAGAUACAACAAACUCCAGUGCUCAACAUCCUCAACUAAAAUGCUGAGUUUUAUAUCUCCAGGGUCUCAAAAGAUAAUAUUAUAACUAAUAUUAAUAUCUCAGUUUAUUCUUAAUCCCAAAAGAAGAAUAUAACAAAAUUAUACAAUCCCAAAAGAACAAGAUGACCAAGAUGUCCUAACAAAAACAUCUAUAUCUUCUAACACCAUCACGUGGCCAAGAUUCAAAAUAUAUUUACAGUUGCUAGGUCGGUCUGGUGUACCUGCAACCUCCUAGUGAGGGGGGAAAAAUAUAAUUAAAACGGGGUGAGUUUAAAACUCAGUGAGUGGAUAGUAGUUUUGAAAAUUAAUUCUUACUUUAAAAGAAAUAAUCAUCUCAUUUCCAAACACGAUUUCAUUAAACCAUAAGCGAGAAACCAAUAAUAAAUCAUUAAACAUUUAAAUCAGAUUACUAACCAUGGAAAUCAUAUCACAAUAUCAUAUAGAAUUCACAAAUCUGAAAAUCGUCACCAAACAAGUACCCCGGAAAAUAAUCUCAUCAUAUCCGGACCUCAACGGACGGGCAAUGACGUACUAUCUGGGUAACGUCACGCCCCGGAGCUACACGGAUAGAUAGGGAAAUACCAUCUCAUAUCUCAUCAUAUCUCAUCAUAUCUGUGCAUGCAUAAUAAAACGCCCAAGCACACGGCCCAAAGCCUCUAUGUGUACUCAGACGGGCCCCAAAGGCCUGUAACUCAUCUGUAUCAUCUGUAUCUCAAUAUCUGUAUCAUAUGUAUCUCAAUAUCUGUCUGUAUCUCAUAUCUGUAUCUCUAUAAUCAUCAUACUGUAUGCAUGUGCCCCCAAAAGGUAAAAGCGUCCAAACACACGGCCCAAAGCCUCUAUGUGUGUUCAGAUGGGCCCCAAAGGCCUCUCAUCUCAUAUCACAUGUAUCACUGUAUCUGGAGGGGAAGGGUACUGUCUAAUGAUUUCAAAAACAAUCAUUAUACUCAUAGUCACAUACAUUUUAAUCAUACUUUAAAUCAUACCACAUUUGAAUCCACGUUUCUCAUCUUUAAAAUACUAUCAUGCUUAUUCAAAGUCGAUACAUAAAAUCAUUAACCAAACAUUUAAUAAAAUAUCAAUGUGUGAAUAAAAUCCAUUUCGAAGAAAUCAUUAAAUCAGAACAUUUAAAAUACUUAUUUCUCAAACAUAUUUUACUAUCAUAAUUAACUAUGAAAAUAGGUUUUGUAUAUUCCACUCACAGUGAUGGUGUUCACAGUCGGUUAUCGUCCACGUCCGCGGAUCGGUUCUGGCUCGCAGAUCCUCCUAAAUCAAGGAAACGACAUAAGUAUUUUCCGUAAAUCGAAAUUACGACUCAAUUUAUGCAAUAAACUCGAAACGAACAUCUAUCCAUAAUUGACAACUCCCGUGUCCAUAAAAUUACCAAAAUGCCCUUGAGUCCGUAAAUCAUUAACAUACUUCGAAAUCGUAAAUCACCGAAUUACCCUCGAAAUCGUAAUUACACCCAAUCCUCAAUUCUAGGAAUUACUAAAAUAUUCACAGGCUCAGAAAUUACAAAAUUGCCCUCAUAGUGUGAAAUUACCAAAAUGCCCUUGCCGGUCAACGGUCACCGAAAAUUGGUCAACGCUGGCUAGGAAGCUCAAAUCUGAAAGUUCCAAUCACGCUGAGUUCAAUGGUACCGGCGGUGAGCUCCAACGCGCGGCAACGGCGCCGGAAUCGAGCUCGGCAGUCGUGAAUUCCAACAAUCGACCGGCGGCAAAACAAUGACUCUCGGUGCCUAUGGAUGGUCGGAAAUGGAAGAGGGAGUCGUGGGGAACAAAAUCCAACUGGUGGUGUCACCCAAAAUCGGCGAAAAUCCUGGCGGAACAAAGUGAAAUAGUCGCGGGUUUCAAGCUUCGAUCGCCGGCGUUCCGGUUAGUUUUCGGCGGCGAGGAUGGCAGGGGAACGACGGUCGGCUUCUAAGCUUCAGAUUGGUACCAAGCUCAGCCGAAACGGUGGCCGGAAAUGGGAGAUAUGGUCGGGUCAAGGUUGCGGGUUCCGGGUCGGGUUUUCGGGUCGGGUUGACGGCUUCUCUCUCUCACUCUCUCACACACGUGUAGCUUCUGUUUUUGCUCUGUUUUUUUCUAGCUUCUUCUUUUCUUUAUUAAUAAAAGCCUUAACCGCCUCAUUUUAUUUUGAAAUUCACAUAUGUUACAUUGUUACCAAAAUGCCCUUGAGUCCGUAAAUCAUUAACAUGCUCCGAAAUCGUAAAUCACCGAAUUACCCUUGGAAUCGUAAUUACACCCAAUCCUCAAUUUUAGGAAUUACUAAAAUAUCCACAGGCUCAGAAAUUACAAAAUUGCCCUCAUAGUGUGAAAUUACCAAAAUGCCCUUGCCGGUCAACGAUCACCGAAAUUUGGUCAAUGCUGGCUAGGAAGCUCAAAUCUGAAAGUUCCAAUCACGCUGAGUUCAAUGGUA
rnacentral:lncRNA from 1 species